AUGAUUGAAAAAUAUGGCCUCCAGACCAAUGCAUUCCUAACCCAGCUUUAUGAAGUGAGGGGGAAGUGGGUGAAGUCAUACUUCAUGGGUGUGUUCUGUGCAAAGAUGACAAGUAUGCAGCGAAGCGAGAGCGCAAACCACCUUCUGAAAGGGUAUGUACCACCAGGCUGCCCCAUGCAUUUGUUCAUCCGGCAAUAUGAGAAGAUGCAAUUUGACGACAACUCAGAAGAAAGUUACCAGGAGAAAAGGACAAAACUAGUUGUCACUUGUGGGGGGAUUGUCCUGAAGCAAAAUAUCCCAGUCGAGGUACAUGCAUCGCAGGUUUACACCAGAACAAUGUUUGAGAAAUUUGGUGAAGCAUUGUAUGUGUGUGGGUCGUAUGAUCUAGUAGAAGUCAAGCCCCAAUUGGAGUACAUUGCUAGGCACAUAAAAUUCCAGUCAAGGGAAAAGUGGUGCAAGAAUGAGUUUGUCAUCUCCGUGAGUGAGACAAUCGAUGAGUUCAGGUGCGAGUGUGGAACAUUUGAGCACUAUGGAAUGGUUUGCAGUCAUGCGCUUAAGGUCAUGAUACACCUAAAACUGCAUGAGCUCCCUCCGAAACAUGUGCUCAAGCGAUGGACUAGAGAUGCAAGAGAUAUACUACUGCCGGAGUAUUUGCGCUACCAGAAGGACCAUGGGCCCCUGAAGUAUUCUUCUCGUCGACUGUCUAUAAGUCUAUGA
rnacentral:rRNA from 1 species